rnacentral:rRNA from 1 species
GAUGAACGCUGACAGAAUGCUUAACACAUGCAAGUCUACCAAGAAUCACUUCGGUGAGGAAUGGUGGCGGACGGGUGAGUAACGCGUAAAUAAUCUGCCCUUUAGACUGGGAUAUCCUUUGGAAACGAAGGGUAAUACCGGAUAUUAUGAGAUGGACGCAUGUUCAACUUGUGAAAGCUAAAUGGACUAGAGGAGGAGUUUGCGUCCCAUUAGCUAGUUGGUGAGGUAAAGGCUCACCAAGGCCACGAUGGGUAGCCGGCCUGAGAGGGUGAACGGCCACAAGGGAACUGAGACACGGUCCUUACUCCUACGGGAGGCAGCAGUGGGGAAUAUUGGACAAUGGACCAAAAGUCUGAUCCAGCAAUUCUGUGUGCACGAUGAAGGUCUUCGGAUUGUAAAGUGCUUUCAGUAGGGAAGAAAAAAAUGACGGUACCUACAGAAGAAGCGACGGCUAAAUAUGUGCCAGCAGCCGCGGUAACAC